AUGGUAUUGCCUUCCUCAGUCAACCAUAACGAACACAUCCCUCUCAACCUGGCCAAGUGUAGAAAAGGCUUCUUCCAGCAAUUUGUUGGACAAGUGCUGCGGAAGAUGGCAAACUUUAAGGAAUUCAUUAUGGCAAAGAUGGAACUUAUCUGAUGAUCGUUGCAAAAAGCACCAAUCUUCCAUGAUUCUAUUGUUUGUGACUUGGUAAACAUAGACUGCAAGAAAAUAAUUAAAUAAAAGUAAUUUUAUAUCAAUUUUUUGUCUUAGU
rnacentral:lncRNA from 1 species